GGUGGGGUCACGGGUUCCCAUGGCGGGGGCGGGGCCGGCACGGCGAGCACAGCGACGACAAACAACGAUAGCGGCAGCCAGAGCAAUAAUAAUAAAAGUAACGAAAACAACGACGGCCACGGCGACAGCGGUAAGAACAGCCACGACGUCAUCGCCUGACGUCACCACGCCCUACAGUCACCUGACGAUGUCACCCCAACACAGCCCGCUUCCUGUCCGGCCCCGCCCCAUUCCCUGUCAGGAGGAAGUGAAGGAACAUGGGGGGAGGACACAUGGAUGCUCAUUUGCAUAUUAAUGAGCGAAAGCCGAUCUGGGCUCUCAUUUGCAUAUUCAUGAGAGGAACCAGGUCUGCAGUCUCUGGUCCAGGAAGUCCCGCCUGCUUCCCUUUGACAGACUGGAGCCUCUCUGCCGGUGAUGGACAGGAAGCUGGGAGAUCACACGGAAGUCCCUCCCCUCCAGGGCUGAUUGACAGUCGCUGCGGAUCACCAGGAAAUCAAAGGCUCUCAGUGAUUCCCGCCUCAGUUUCUGGUCCCGGAAGUCCCGCCUUAGACGGACAGGGGAGUUGCGGAAGUCCCUCCCUUCCGCGGCUGAUUGACGGAAAAGCCGAAGCCGAAGCCCCUCCGGGAUUCCAGCCUCCGUGCUGGUCGCAGAAGUCCCUCCCUCUUUCCGUCUGAUUGACAUGAGCCUUCCGGAAGUCCCUCCCAGGCGACAACAGAUGAACACCCGGCCCCGCCCCGGCGCCCUGGCCGCUGACUUCACCCCCGCCCCGGCCCGCAGGAAGUUGCGUAACCCAUAAUAAUAUAAAUGGGCCCACAGGACGCCUCCGCCAAAGCCACGGGAGCCGAGCCUGAUUCGUCGCUUGUCUUUCCCCUAGACUCCGGGGUGACCUUACCCUGUCGGUCUCUGUAGGACCCGACUUAGGAACAGUGUUGACUUUGCCCGUUACUGGUGUAGCUUCAACACACAAGAAGACAGGAUCACCACUCAGUCCUCACCAGGCCAGAGGCCCAGGAAAUGAUUUGGAGAGAAAAACCUCAGGGAUCUGGAGCACAUGCACUGCAGGCUGAUCAUGCGCUCCCAGAAUAAGCAGACAAGGGAUGUGUGGUUAAUAAAUUCUGUGUUGCAAGAA